rnacentral:rRNA from 1 species
AGCAGCCGCGGUAAUUCCAGCUCCAAUAGCGUAUAUUAAAGUUGUUGCAGUUAAAAAGCUCGUAGUUGAAUUUCGGAAUCUGUCCGUUGGUCGGGCUUCAUUGUCCGUACUGGUGUGAUGGGUUCUUACCUUCUGAAUAACCAGCAUGCCAUUCAUUUGGUGCGUUGGGGAAGCAGGACUAUUACCUUGAAAAAAUUAGAGUGCUCAAAGCAGGCUAGUGCCUGAAUACAUUAGCAUGGAAUAAUAAAAUAGGACGGCAUGGUUCUACUUUGUUGGUUUCUAGGAUCACCGUAAUGAUUAAUAGGGAUAGUUGGGGGCAUUAGUAUUCAAUUGUCAGAGGUGAAAUUCUUGGAUUUAUUGAAGACUAACUUCCGCGAAAGCAUUUGCCAAGGAUGUUUUCAUUAAUCAAGAACGAAAGUUAGGGGAUCGAAGACGAUCAGAUACCGUCGUAGUCUUAACCAUAAACUAUGCCGACUAGGGAUCNNNCGAUGUUAAUUUUUUAAUGACUCG